AUGCAGUCGAACGAUGAACCACUUCGGUGGGGAUUAGUGGCGAACGGGUGAGUAACACGUGGGCAAUCUGCCCUGCACUCUGGGACAAGCCCUGGAAACGGGGUCUAAUACCGGAUACUGAUCGCCUUGGGCAUCCUUGGUGAUCGAAAGCUCCGGCGGUGCAGGAUGAGCCCGCGGCCUAUCAGCUUGUUGGUGAGGUAAUGGCUCACCAAGGCGACGACGGGUAGCCGGCCUGAGAGGGCGACCGGCCACACUGGGACUGAGACACGGCCCAGACUCCUACGGGAGGCAGCAGUGGGGAAUAUUGCACAAUGGGCGAAAGCCUGAUGCAGCGACGCCGCGUGAGGGAUGACGGCCUUCGGGUUGUAAACCUCUUUCAGCAGGGAAGAAGCGAAAGUGACGGUACCUGCAGAAGAAGCGCCGGCUAACUACGUGCCAGCAGCCGCGGUAAUACGUAGGGCGCGAGCGUUGUCCGGAAUUAUUGGGCGUAAAGAGCUCGUAGGCGGCUUGUCGCGUCGGUUGUGAAAGCCCGGGGCUUAACCCCGGGUCUGCAGUCGAUACGGGCAGGCUAGAGUUCGGUAGGGGAGAUCGGAAUUCCUGGUGUAGCGGUGAAAUGCGCAGAUAUCAGGAGGAACACCGGUGGCGAAGGCGGAUCUCUGGGCCGAUACUGACGCUGAGGAGCGAAAGCGUGGGGAGCGAACAGGAUUAGAUACCCUGGUAGUCCACGCCGUAAACGGUGGGCACUAGGUGUGGGCGACAUUCCACGUCGUCCGUGCCGCAGCUAACGCAUUAAGUGCCCCGCCU
rnacentral:rRNA from 1 species